GGCAUGAGUUUUUAUUUGUUUCUGAUAUGUUUACCUUAGAUCUAAAUAUCUGUUAAAUGGUCAAAAUCCCACUUAAUGAUGGUGUGAAAGCCAUCCAUAUUAAGUAGAAACUGUACUUCACAUUUUGAAUUUUGAUAUUUCCCCAGGUUAGCAAUAUGUGAUAUGAUACUCAUUUGGGAUGUUGGGGAGGCAGCAGCAGCAGCAAGCCAUACCUCCAAGUCAGCCACUUAAACAUGAGGGUAAAAGACUGAUUCUCCAAGUAUACCAUGUUGCUAAGCUGUGAUGUUUGGUAGGUAAGGUAUUUUAAAUGCAUUUUCAGCUUAAUGGUAUUUUCCACUUAUGAUAGGUUUAUCAGGAAGUGAACAUAUUCUAAGUUGAGCAUGUUUGAAAUUCUUAAAAACACAAAACAGACAUUUAAAAUACAGUAGGCUUAAAUUGUUCUCAUUGAGUUAUUUAGUACAAAUUGAAUAAAGAAUGGUCUGGUAAAAGUAACAUUUCAGGAUUUUAUUUCCCAAGUGGAACCUUUAUGAUAUAUCUUAAAGUUAGCAAAUAUUGAACAAUCAUAAAUCACUGUUGGCCUGUGUGUAUUCAGAUUCUUAGAUUUCAAACUUGGUUUAACUAUAGUGGUAAAAGGGGUUUUUGGAUUUGGAAAGACAUUAUUACUAUGCAAAUAGGUAAAUCAGUGACAAAAUAUAACAGAAUAGAUAACAAUUAGUGACAAAAGUGAAACUAGACAUAUUUAACCAAAAAAUGAUGUGGUUAAGGCAAGGAAAUCCUGUAUGUUGUACUUUCUCUCAGAGGUUAAUAUUAUACUUGUUAAAAACCAGAAAUCCUGCAGUAAAGAAGUCUGUUUGAAAGUGGUUACUCCAGCCUUUUCAAAUCUUUAUUUGACCACUUUUCAAGGGAAUGCCAUAUUCAAUGACACUCUGUGGGGGAAACUACACUUAGAAAUCAUCCCUUCUCUGGUAUUGCACAUGAUAUUCAGCUAUUUUCCUGGGCUUAUAUAUGGCUUGCCAUUCUUUCUGGGCUCAGUUCUGCAGUCUUUUUAAACUGUGCUAAUCCAGUGAUUUAUUUAUUCUGAACCACUUUAAAUGGAUGUGUUUUCUCAUUCUCACCUCACAGUGCUUUGUUCUAUUUUGGUUUUCACUUUUCUGCUCUGAAAUUGUCAGUUAAGUAACAUCAAAUGUCCUUCUCAACUUCUCUAUUAUCUUUUCUCAUAAGCAUCCAUUACCUCAGAAACUUGUCAUUUUUAUUGAACAUCUAUUACAUUCUUUCCAGUUUCAGUAACUAUAACAAAGUUCUGUUCCACAUGGGCCUCACAUAAUAGGAAGUGGAGAGUUUGACAAUAAACAACACAUAUAUUGCCUGCCAGGGCUAAUAAUAGAUAAUUUAGUGAAAAAUUCAGCAUAGUAAGGAAGCUAGGUCAGGAAGGGGGUUGGUGGUUAUUCUUACAAAAUAGAGAAAGCUACAUUAAGAAGGUGAUAUUUAGCCAGGCAUGGUAGUAAAUGCCUAUAAUCCAGAGGCUCAGGAGGCUGAGACAAGAGGAUUGCAGGUUCAAAGCCAGCCUCAGCAAAAGCAAGGCACUAAGCAACUCAGUGAGACCCUGUCUCUAAAUAAAAUAGUUUCAUGUGCUAUGACAAGGGGUUUAAAGUGGUGGGGAAAAGUUAGAGUGGACUGAGGAGAUAGUGAAGGUCAUAGAAAUUGCAGUAGUUGUAGGGAGAGGCAUAUGUUGGUAGUGUGCAAGUUUGCCUUCUUUCCGGUGGGGAAAUCCAUCAUGUUUGUAUUCUGUUGGGAGUUAUCAGUGUAUGAUCAUUCACAGAAAGGGUUGAGGGAAGCAGUCUUAAUGUGACUGUUUUCUACCAAAAAUCACAGAGAGACAGGAGGAGUUGUUCAUUUUUGAUUCACAGAAUAGUUUUUUUUUUUUUUUAAUUUUAAGUUUUUGAAUAAAAAUCACCUGAGUACAUAGGCUAAGGUGUGUGAGAGUGAGUUUCUGGUUCUUUCCAGUAGUCAUUUUCUCAGCUGGGGCUACCUUUCAUUGUCAGGAAAAAGUGGUUUUUGUGUAUCCCAUUUGAACUGUUCUUUGUGAGUAACAUCUUUUGCAGUAGAGGAGAAACACCCCCUUUCUAACAUUUCUGUUUUAGUGAAAUUGAGUAGAAUGAAAUUGAGAUUUCCUAUAGAACUAGGACAGUGGUGUAGCACAUCCUCAGUUUGUUAUCCUACUCUAUACAUGUUAAUGUUUGUUUUUCUAACUUCUAAUUAUAACAUGAC
rnacentral:lncRNA from 1 species